UACGUAGGGGGCGAGCGUUGUCCGGAUUCAUUGGGCGUAAAGAGCUCGUAGGCGGCUUGGCAAGUCGGGUGUGAAAACUCCAGGCUUAACCUGGAGACGCCACCCGGGACUGCUAUGGCUAGAGUCCGGUAGGGGAUCACGGAAUUCCUGGUGUAGCGGUGAAAUGCGCAGAUAUCAGGAGGAACACCGGUGGCGAAGGCGGUUCUCUGGGACGGUACUGACGCUGAGACGCGAAAGCGUGGGGAGCGAACAGG
rnacentral:rRNA from 1 species